UCAAAGAUCCUGAUGUCCUGGCUGCAAGGCCAGCCAUGUUAUGACUUUGACAGAUCCCAGAAAUGUUUGUCCCUUGUCAACAAAGUUUACUGGCCAUCAUCAACUAUGUGGUGAGACUUAUCAACCAGGCUGGCAGACAGUCAGAUGCCGAAACUGCUAUUCUGGGGGCUCAAAACUGCUUACUCUUCCUGUGGACCAGGUCACUUGAAGACGCUCAGUGUGGUGUUAUCCUGUUUCCUAAUGCAAGGCGGCAGCGAGCCCUAGAUUCCAAGCAGCCAUAUGACCUCAAGGGAGAACAGUCAACCUCAGCAAUAUCACUCGGGGAGGCAAAGCAGUCCAUCGGUCACACUGACAACUAGCUGUUAUGCCCUGCCUGCUCUGAUGUGUCUCCACCUUGUAAACAUACAAGCUUGGGGAGAACGGACGGGGUGAGCAACGGACACAUAUCAUCCUGUAAACUGAGGACAGGAUCCAGCGCGUGACUGAGAAACUCCACAUUUGCUGUACUCUUGAGCCACGCUGCGGGUAAGCCACAAUUUCUGCACUUCGUUUUUCUUGACGUCCAGCCACAAUGAGUGCUCAGAGUUCUAAGAGGGAUCUUAGGACCCUGAGAUCUUAGGGUGUUGAUGCACUCCGUUCCAUCACAACACUCUGGAGUUCUAUUUAUUUCUCUCCAGGAAUAUUGAUGGGGUAGGUGGUGGUGGGGGGGGGAACACAAUGUGAUUGCUUGGCAGAAUAGAAAACACUUUUUGCCUCGGUUUCUCUUUUGGAUAAAGAAGAGUCACUAUUAUAAAGAAAUAGACAAGACAGAAGAUGUGUCCCCAAGGGGACUAUUUGCUCCUCCAAUGAGAAUCAAAUAAAGGUACCAUUAUUUCUUAAUAUAAUUGUAACUCAGUGGCUUGUAUGCUUAAGAAAGGGGUGAGUUGAAGACACACAUACCAUCAUCAACAUAUGCAGUGUUUACGAAGAUUGCUACCUCCAAAAGCUGGAAGGGCCAAGGGGCCCCCACAGAGCAGAAGACUUGCAGCCAAGGUGCUUUUAAACAAAAUAUGCAUAUUCAGUGAAGAGUGGCAGGGAACGCUCUUCCCUGCUGAACAGAACAGCCUUUCUAAGUCCAGCACUUUGUGAGGCCCAUAGGAAAUUCUACUCAUGCCAGUUGGAAAAGAAUGUUCCCAGUACGAACACUUGGAGAGGAAGUUGCAACCACAGGAGACAGACUAAACAACAGAAUUCCCGAAAGCAUUUGAGUCACACGUGUGUGCACGUCACGUUCCACUUCCCUAGGGCCUGGGUUCCCUAGGAUAGAAGGGUGCUGGGGAAAAGAUCAGACAGCCUACUCAUCCCUGGGCCAGACAGAUGCUUCUGCCACUUCAGGGCCAAAAGUCCCAACAGGGGAGCUGAUACCUGCAGUUCUCCUGAGGUCACACAGUGUCAACUGGACAUUACCUCCAAAAGGAGCCUUUUAUCAAGUCCAUGUCAUUAAGCACCUAUGUUUUCUAGCUACAAGAGACUUGGCCACAGGGGCAGACAGCCUGGUGUUGUUUACUGGCAGGCUAAUGGCCUUUUAGCCAGCACAGAGGGCCUGGGCUAUGGAAGGAAGAACUGUCCAGUGUACCUUAGGAUAGCUGUUGACCCUCUAUGUGGCCAGGGAAACCGGGUUGGGGUGUAAGUGCCAUUGAAAGGGAAGAUAAAGCUUUGCUGGAUGCUCAAAGGAGCCAGAUUUCCUGGAAAGCUUGUGAAAACAGAAGCCAGGCCCCUACUUUCUUUUCAGGAAUGAGAAUCUCAAAGACAGUGGCUCUCAACCAAGGCUCUGUCGUCCACCCCCAAAGGCCAUCAGACAUUGUCUGGGGACAUUUUUGAUUUGUCACAACUCAGAGGGUAGUGGAUGAGGCCAGGGAUGCUACGCAUCAUCUACAGUUCGAUCCCACAGCAGAAGUGCAUCAGGACCAAAAUGUCAAUAGUUCAGUAGAUGGCUUCUCUGUGGGAGAUAUCGUCUGCAAUAUGUGGGCUUCUGUUUUUGCAUGGCUUGUAUGUACAAGCCUAUUCACAUUCAUGUGUUGCAUGUGGAAACCUGAAGUUGAUAUCGGGGUCUUGAUCACUCUCCACUUAUUUAUUGAGGCAGUACCCCUCACAACUGAACCCAGAGGAUACAGAUCAGACCAGGCAUAACUAGCCAACUUGAUCUGGUGAUCCUGUCUCUGCCUUCCAAGCCUUGUGAUUAUGGAGGCCACCAUGACUGCCUGGCCUUUACAUGGAUUCUUGGAUUGCGUGGAUUCAAACCCCCAGUCCUCAUAACUGUACUGCAGCUCUGUAUCCGCUAGUGACACCUCAUAGUAUGUGUGCUUUUAACAAGUUCCCCAGACAAUCUUGAUGGGCAUUGACUUGAGAAUUCUGUACAUGUCUUGGUAUCCAGUCCAGAGAUCAGGCAGGAAGGUAGUGAGGGAGAAGGUAGUGGAUAUUCUUACAGAUGUACCAAAAGCAUCAUUGGUGAAGACAGGUCCAGCAACCCUUAAUAAAGGCACCGUGGAGCUCUGGGACUGGGUAGGUGAGUGAGUCACCCAGAGUAGAAAGGUCAGAGCUCAGACAUGUCACCCUCACUGCCAUUUAUGUCUCCAGAGCUGUGGCAGCUUUGUGGAUACAGCUUGGAAGAGUUUAAGGCCUCCUUUCAAGGGCACCGUGUUUUCAACUAUGAUUGUUGUAAGCUGAUAAUGGAUAGAAGUGGAGGAUUUGUAGACAUGAAUUUCUACUCCACGGCACACAAUGGAACAGGACACAUGACGGGGUUUAGCAGAAACCCUGCUAUCAUAUCUGCUAUGGUUCAGGAGUAACAAGCCAAGAAAUGUUUCUAUAGUCCUAGUCGUCUGUCUGUCUGUCUGCCUGCCUGCCUGCCUGUCUCUCCUCUCCUCACAAGCUGGAUAUUUGCAGGUCCCCAAUGUCCUUGCUCGCCACUCCACAGGACCUGUCUAUCCUGGUACAGUUGAGAGAUGCCCGAGAAAGGGCCUUUUAAGGAACUGCCAUGGAAGAAUCAAUUCCCUUGCAGGUGGAAGGUGGAAGAUGGAAGGAGGGAAACCAGAAGCAGGAACCUGAGCAAGUGACGACAUUUUCUUGUGGUUCUGAGGCCAGUGGGGGUGGAGGUUGCUUAUCGUUUUCUUGAAACAGUUAUAAAAAUUGUCAUGGCUAAAAGAAAUAGGAAGAGACACAGAGUAAACUUUUCUUUAUGCAUCGGAUUGUAACAUUUUUUUUUGUUUUUUUGUUUUUUAAGGUACACAAAGUUUGGGUUGCUCUUUUUGCUGACUCACUCCUCUUGCAAUUUUUACAAAUUCUACUGUAAUUACUGCCUUUCUCCUAAAAUGUUAUAUUUCUAAGACAUUUAACCUACAUGCUAGUGUUGCCACAGUGGUUAAAUGUUAAAACCAAAUAUUCCAGUCUUUUUAUUUACAAGGACACAGGAGGUACUGGGCUAAUCAAAAGAAUCAACUUAUUAUCCUGACACGAAUUUGAACAUUAUUUCAUAUUUUAUCAUUAUAAUCUACUAAUACUCUACAACACUCUGUUGGUGCUUUGAGAGAUCAGUGUUACCAUCACUUAUGAAAACCAUUACAAUCCCUUGAUACUGGUUGGAAGGAGGUGUGUGUGUGUGUGUGUGUGCGUGUGUGUGUGUGUGUGUGUGUGUGUGUGUGUGUAUAAGGGAAUGAACCAGAGACAUGAGUUGGGUGUGUGGGUGGGGGGAAUGAAAAACCAGGGACAUGAGUUUUGUGUGUGUGUGUGUGUGUGUGUGUGUGUGUGUGUGUGUGUGUGUGUGUAUAAGGGGAAUGAACCAGGGACAUGAGUCAGGUAUCUUUAGAUAGUUGGUUUUGGAUCCCCCAGACAGGUUCCUAAACCCAGUUUUACACACAAGCCAAGUCCUUUCUACCCAACCUCCCCUCUCUCACUUCCCAGGCCCUCCCUGGCUCUCUCUUCUAUCACAUUCACUUGCUGCUGUCUUAGCUCACUCCCAUAGAGCUGGAACUGCCUGUGCCUGUCUUUGGUAUCACAGCACCUGAUAACUGUUGCCAAGAGAAUGAUCACUCCAGUUUCCAUAUGGGAGAGCUCAGAUUCUAGAGUGCUGUAUCCAGUGAGGGUCAAUACUCUGAGGUUUUCAGAACCUCACCAACUGCAAGCCUUAUGGGUUAACCACUUGAUCCUGACCUGAAGUUUUCCUCCCUGACUUUAAUAAGUACUUUCAAUGCUCCAUUGCUGACUUAUCAUGGGUUUUAUUGGUUGUACCAUAAUAACAGAAUGGCAUGGUUUUCCUUGCCUGACCACGAAGAAUUGGAUGCCCAUGGUCAGGUACAAAUGAAGCAAGUGUUUACUGAAGACCCCAAGGGAAAUGACAACCACAGAGCAUCUUCCCAAGACUGAAGCUACCCAUCACCUACACAGAUGCCUCGUUUCAUGAAGAAGACUCUGACACAAAGGCCACAGCCACUGAUCCUAUCCCCCCAAGGAACAGCAGAGUACCUAGAAGCACUGAAUGGAAUAGUACCCAAGCCACACGCAGUUCUUACAACCAAGCUUUCAUCGUUCUCCCCGACCUUUACCCUGGAACACAAUGUGCUAUAUAGAAGCAGCAAAUUAUAAAAAUGUGUUUGGCAGCCCAGAUGUACCAGCGCUGGAUCAGAUCUCAAGGCUGCUCCAUUUCCAGUCUGGGGCUCCAUUCCUGAGCAAACGUCCUGUAAAGAAAUCUACAAAUGUUUUUGUGACUGGUGUCCUUGAGCAAGUGUUCUCAAUGCCUCUCCAGAGCCAUAUGGAGCUUGGGCAUGCUCGCAAUAAAUCAUUCCUUUGGGUCUCUAUCAUUA